rnacentral:rRNA from 1 species
GACGAACGCUGGCGGCGUGCUUAACACAUGCAAGUCGAACGAUGAUGCCAGCUUGCUGGUGGAUUAGUGGCGAACGGGUGAGUAACACGUGGGUGAUCUGCCCCGAACUUUGGGAUAAGCCUGGGAAACUGGGUCUAAUACCGGAUAGUACCUUCCCUUGCAUGGGGGUUGGUGGAAAGCUCCGGCGGUUUGGGAUGGGCCCGCGGCCUAUCAGCUUGUUGGUGGGGUAAUGGCCUACCAAGGCGACGACGGGUAGCCGGCCUGAGAGGGCGACCGGCCACACUGGGACUGAGACACGGCCCAGACUCCUACGGGAGGCAGCAGUGGGGAAUAUUGCACAAUGGGCGCAAGCCUGAUGCAGCGACGCCGCGUGAGGGAUGACGGCCCUCGGGUUGUAAACCUCUUUCACCAGGGACGAAGCGUGAGUGACGGUACCUGGAGAAGAAGCACCGGCCAACUACGUG